UACGAAGGGGGGCUAGCGUUGUUCGGAUUUACUGGGCGUAAAGCGCACGUAGGCGGACUAUUAAGUCAGGGGUGAAAUCCCGGGGCUCAACCCCGGAACUGCCUUUGAUACUGGUAGUCUUGAGUUCGAGAGAGGUGAGUGGAAUUCCGAGUGUAGAGGUGAAAUUCGUAGAUAUUCGGAGGAACACCAGUGGCGAAGGCGGCUCACUGGCUCGAUACUGACGCUGAGGUGCGAAAGCGUGGGGAGCAAACAGG
rnacentral:rRNA from 1 species